rnacentral:misc_RNA from 1 species
UGAAAACGCCGAAUCGAAAUCGGAGUCAUUGAUCGACAAGCUAGUCGAGAAGAUUCACGAUCACGAUUCAUCUUCAUCGUCGGGAUCAGACUCCGAAACCGAGGGAGGAUCGGCUUCGUCCUCAACCUUGAAGGAGAAGGUCUUCCGGCUGUUCGGAAGGGAGAGGCCAGUUCAUCAUGUCCUCGGCGGUGGCAAACCUGCUGAUUUAUUCUUGUGGAGGAAUAAGAAGAUUUCAGCCGGUGUUCUUAGUGGAGCCACUGUCAUCUGGGUUUUCUUUGAAUUGCUUGAGUGCCAUCUGCUUACGUUUGUUUCACGCUCUCUGAUCCUCGCUCUUGGGCUCUUGUUCCUCUGGUCCAAUGCCCAUACAUUUAUCUACAAGAGUCCACCCCGAAUCCCAGUUGUUCAACUUCCUGCGGACCCCUUCUUGGAGUUUGCUUCAACUUUGAGGGCGGAAAUUAAUUGUGGUUUUGCAUUAUUGCGGGACAUUGCAACUGGAAGAGAUUUGAAGAAAUUCCUCACUGCAAUUGCUGCCUUGUGGGUUCUGUCCAUUGUGGGA